rnacentral:misc_RNA from 1 species
AACUUUUGGCAAUGGAUCUCUUGGCUCUCCCAUCGAUGAAGAACGCAGCGAAAUGCGAUAAGUAAUGUGAAUUGCCGAAUUCAGUGAAUCAUCGAAUCUUUGAACGCACCUUGCGCCCUUUGGUAUUCCGAAGGGCAUGCCUGUUUGAGUGUCAUUAAAUUCUCAACCUUGCUAGCUUUUUCUAGCUUGCGAGGCUUGGAUGUGAGGGUUUUUGCUGGCUUCCUUCAGUUGGAUGGUCUGCUCCCUUUAAAUUCAUUAGUGGAAUCCUUUGUGGACGGUCACUUGGUGUGAUAAUUAUCUACGCCGCCUGACUCUGAAACAAGACUUGCGGGAACCUGCUUAUAAUCGUCUCUUCGGAGACAAUCAUUGACAAUUUGACCUCAAAUCAGGUAGGACUACCCGCUGAACUUAAGCAUAUCAAUAAGCGGAGGCU